GGGCGCGGGGGGGCUGGGCUCGGCUUUAACCCCUGCGCGCCCGCCCGGCCCCGCCCGCACCGCCCCG